rnacentral:rRNA from 1 species
UACAGAGGGUGCGAGCGUUAAUCGGAGUUACUGGGCGUAAAGGGUGCGUAGGCGGUAAGAUGUGUGUGAUGUGAAAGCCCCGGGCUUAACCUGGGAAGUGCAUCGCAAACUAUCUAACUAGAGUAUAUGAGAGGGUGGCGGAAUUUCCGGUGUAGCGGUGAAAUGCGUAGAGAUCGGAAGGAACGUCAAUGGCGAAGGCAGCCACCUGGCAUAAUACUGACGCUGAGGCACGAAAGCGUGGGGAGCGAACAGG